GUCAGUCAUUCCUGCAUGGGUGCAGAGGUCCUAUGAGUUAUGAGGAGAAAGGUUGUUACGGACAGUGGUGCAAAGUACACGUAGCAUCGGGAAGGCCUGCUCUCCCUCCCCCUGCCUGAGUCUCCUAUUGCCAAAGUAUUCCAAAGAGAAGCAUUACGUAUCUAAGAAGAGAAAAGAGGUGAAGCAUUGCGGAGGAUGGAGCGUGAACACAGGAGCACCCUGUGGGAAGAGUAGGGAAGCUGAAAUGAUCUCCUGCCAUUUCAGCAGAUAGAGGAAUGUGGCCGGAGGUGAAAAUGGGCAGGAGGACUCGGGAGGCUCUCUCGUGGCAGCAGAGCCGGCAUGCUCGUGUUGGCCAUUUCUCAGCUGGGGAAUGUGCCACGGAGAGGUUCCCUUUAGCAAGAGAGGCAGAGGCUCCCUUUCUCAGGUCUUUCAGGGUGCUGUCUGCCUUCCUCCGAAACGUUUACCCAGGAGGAUGGGCCAGGAGGAGCUCCGUCCGUGCUUCAUCCCCCUGCCCCCCCUCGACUCCCAGCCCAUGUCCGGUCAGGUGAGGCGCCCAGAGUACCUCGUGAGCAGCACCACCGCCUUGCUGACAGUGCCUGUGUGUCCCCCUAGCAACCCCCGACGAUGUUGUGGAGGCCGGUGGGAGUGAGAAGACCAAGGAGGAGGCCCUGGCUGGGGAAACUGAGGAGGAGAUGGGGCUGGGGACUGUGAAGGCAGAGGAGGAGGAGGAAAAGGAGGAAGCUGCAGCCAUAGACAAGGCGGAGGAGGAGGCGGGCCCGGCCCAUGAAAAUGACAAGGAGGAGUCGCCAGCCAGCGACCGGGCUGAGCAGGAAGACAAGCCUGCCCCCAAGGUGGACGGGACGGACGAUGAAAGCUUGUGGAGCAUUGUGAGUCUGUGUGGCAGCAACCACGAAGAAAGUGAUACAGGUAAGAAUAGCUCUCAGGUAGGGGCCAGUGGGAGAGGGUUCGCGGGACACUUGGGUUAUGCCUGCUGCUUGGAGGGUGGGGCGGGUGAGUCUGCAAUUGAAAAACAGAAAGAAAUUGGUGUAAAGAUGUUCGUCGCCUAUUUUCCUAA
rnacentral:lncRNA from 1 species